UCUCACUAUGAAACCAUGCAGACACUUCUAGAGUACUUCGAAGGCCAGCUUAUUCUGCAACAGUCUCAUGCGUCAGUUUCUCCACAAGCCUUCCAAUCAUUAACCCAGCAGUUGGAUAUUUAACACGUUCGCUCAUGGAAUAAUUGUGAAUUUGUCAGCGGGCAUGAUGCUCUCAAGGGUCGCAGGUGAAUUGGAGCCUCUCCUAACUGACUUCAGGAGGAAGAGGAUGGAAAACCUACUCAACCACAGGGAGAAAAUGCACAAGCCGCACAUGAAGGCCGAAACAGAGAUUUGAAUCCCGAACCCUGAGGAUUGUGAUAUUAUACACGUAUAGUUGAUUAGAGUGCUUUACAUUAGUUUCAAUUGUUUGACAAACUUUUUGUUUGUGUAGUUUGCGUUGUUGUACAACUGCACUGUAUAGUACAGUACUGAGAGAUGUUUCUAAUACUGUAUUUUGGUGAGCCCCAUUAGGUACUAGGGGAGGAGGACAAAAUAUUAAGAAAAAAACAAGUGCUGUAAUUUCUGGUGUAUAAUGCAAAUUUUUUCACCCCCAAAAUUAUCAAAAGGCAAUAGUUCGCAUUACACAUGGGUAUAGGGGCAAAUGGAAAAAAAACUUUCACAUUUUAUAAAUGUAUGCCGGCAUCUAGUGGUUAUGAAAAAGCUGUACACUUUCAUUCCAAAAUACCACCGCCACCUAGUGGUUAUAAAAAAAAGUGUAGCCUACACUUUCAUUCCAAUUUGACAGGGGUACGUAUGACUGCAUAUAUGUACAGUUGUGCUCAUAAGUUUACUUACCCUGGCACAAUUUUUGAAAUAUUGUUUUUUUAAGAGCCGGUUGAAGUGGCUGGGGAGAGGGAAGUUUGGGCGUCCCUGCUAAAGCUACUGCCCCCGCGACCCGACCUUGGAUAAUCAAACAUAUCAGCACAACUGUGUGUUUUCUAAUUUACUAAAUAAAAGUAGGGCUGUUCAAAAAAAGAGCAAGUAAAUUACAAAAAGGAUUACGUGUUCAAAUAAAGUGCUUAACUUCAGAAUAAUUCUUUGGGGAAAAAAACAAACAAAAUACAGAUAAUACUUUGUUUUGAUCAUAGGGGUAGAAGCAAAAUCAUGCAUUGUAUAAAUGCAUUAUACAUAGGUAGAAGGGUUUUCCAGAAUUUUGAGGUAAACUUUGGGGGUGCGUAUUAUACAUGGGUGUGCAAUAUACACCAGAAAUUACGGUAUUAUAAAAUUCUGUUUUAAACCAUUGCAAACUACAACCACAAUAAUAAACCCAUAGUAUUGUCACUCUAUGACGGUGUCAAUCAGAACUGUUUAUUGCAGGCAGUUGUACUGAAUUUUAUGGUUAUCAAGUCUAUAUGUGUUGUGAUUAAUUUUGUUGACACAUGUAGACUAUUGACACUAUUUGCAUAAUGUA